CGGCAUGUUCUCGCAGGUUACAAUAAUAAAUGGCUACAGGUGCAAAAUUUCACUGUUCAUGGAGUUAAAGUAGAAUUCUCAGGAUUUUACGCCAGGAGCGUAAAGACAUAUGUUCAGUUCACCGCCAUAACCACGCCCCCCCACAUGCUGCAUUUUUGGCAGACUUACAGGGUGCCAUACUGUGGGUUUUGUUUAAUUGCAGUGAUUACAUUAUAUUUGAUAGUGCAGGUGUUUCAUUCCACCUUCACAAACAAGCAGAAUCUAUAUUAAACAUUAUGGUUAUGAUUGGUAUUUGAUAGCAAAUCAAAAAUGUUACAAAUGAGUGUAACCAUGUGUUAAAUAUUAAAACAUUCAGGAGGUUCAUUGAAGUUCACCUCCAUAAUCCAUGUCUUUUAUGGGAAUCAUACCCUUAGCUGAAAUUCUGUUACUUCUUAUUUAUGACGAAAUUACUUAAGUUUAAGGUGAAAUUGGACGUCAGCAGGAUACAAACAAUGACAUAAGAAACACUGACAUUGCUGUCUUGUAAUAACUGUUUUAUCUUUUCCUUAGAAUGAGAAAUGCCUCUUCCACUUGGCCGAGACACCAAGAUCCUGAGCCAGACCAGUUGAAAUUCCUCAAUGAAGUCUGUGAUCGCCAGGACCUAACCAUGGAGAUGAUCGUAAUGCACAGGAUCCACCGCAGGGCCAGCCUACCCUGCCAGGUGGUGAGCUGCUCUUGGUCAGAUGGGCUGAAUAAGAACUGCAAUGGAG